UUUUUUUUUUCUUUUUUUUUUCUUUGAGUGUUGAGGAAAUGAAGUUUGGGAAUGCAACAGAGCCAUCUUCAUCCAAUGAACCAAAGCUUCAGGGGUACAUUUUUUUUUCAGGUUUUAGAAGCGAUCACUUACUACUAAUAAGAGGCUCUUCCCACGUGUGUUCCUAGUUAUGCUUGGGAGUCUUUUUGCCACGUAGUUCCGUGUCACUCUGCAUCACCAAUUAUGAAAGCUGUUGAAAAGCAUACAGGCUGUUGCAACAGGAGUGUUCCCCCACCUAUGAACCAUCUGCUCAUUAGCACUGAAGAUUGAAUCCACCAGUUGAACUGCUUGGAGGCAGCAGAGACAAGAUGCAGAAACAUUAUGCUUAUGCUUCUUUGUUGAAACCAUUCAAUCCUUGUGGUUUGAGGAAAACAGAAGCGAUUGGUCAAAAAGAAAAUAGAAAGUGCUUGCCAUUCCUUCUGUGCACAUCGGCCCCAUAGUUUAAGGAGAAAAAGAGAAGCUUAGAUGUCAAUAACAGAGGAACUUGUUCUUGAGCAGCCAACUCACUUUGAGAAAGAGAAGAAAGCCCACCCAGUCAGGCUGCCCCCCAUGAAAGGAGGCUACAGAACAAAGGAGAGGAAGAAAACGAACUUGUUAGUACAAGGGAUGUGCUUGACUGUCUAUGUUGCCAUUACCUACCUUAUUUCCCUUUACCCAGACUGUCCAGACAGGGUUAACACACUUGAUAACAGUUGUUGCAGUGGGAGUAGGUCGCUGUGAGGCUCAUUAGCUAGACUGUCUAACCUCACCUCGUGAGAAUGAUGAAAUUCCUGUAUUUUAGAAGGCAGUGCUGCUCAGUGCAGCACACAGAGGCCGAGCUGAGUUGCUUAGGAAUGCAAAGACUGUCCACUGUGACAGAGGAGUGAAGAAACAUUUAUUCCCUAUUACAUGCCACGUUUCAAAUAUGCAGCAUUUUACCCUUCUGUUUCAGCUUCCUCACAGUGUUGCUUGGGGUUUUCUUCUUGUCCAGGAUCAGGCGAAGCUGAUUAUUGUUUUACUGGCAAAGUUACGUCACUGGCCAGCUACAACAAGGAGUGAAGCCUUCCAUUUCUCACUUGCAGUCACCAGCUUCCAGUGUUCAGUAUUCAUAAAGCUGCUAAAA